rnacentral:rRNA from 1 species
GACGAACGCUGGUGGCGUGCCUAAUACAUGCAAGUCGAGCGGACUGAUUAAGAGCUUGCUCUUAUGACGUUAGCGGCGGACGGGUGAGUAACACGUGGGCAACCUGCCCUGUAGAUCGGGAUAACACCGAGAAAUCGGUGCUAAUACCGGGUAAUAUCUGAGAUCACAUGAUCUUAGGUUAAAAGAUGGCUCCGGCUAUCACUACAGGAUGGGCCCGCGGCGCAUUAGCUAGUUGGUAAGGUAAUGGCUUACCAAGGCGACGAUGCGUAGCCGACCUGAGAGGGUGAUCGGCCACACUGGGACUGAGACACGGCCCAGACUCCUACGGGAGGCAGCAGUAGGGAAUCUUCCGCAAUGGACGAAAGUCUGACGGAGCAACGCCGCGUGAGUGAUGAAGGGUUUCGGCUCGUAAAGCUCUGUUGUUAGGGAAGAAACAGUACCGAACGAACUAGGUCGGUACCUUGACGGUACCUAACCAGAAAGCCACGGCUAACUACGUG